rnacentral:tRNA from 1 species
GGGCCCGUGGCGUAGCAUGGAUAACGCGUCGGCCUUCUAAGCCGGAGAUCCCGGGUUCAAAUCCCGGCGGGCCCGCCA